rnacentral:rRNA from 1 species
UACGGAGGGGGCUAGCGUUGUUCGGAAUUACUGGGCGUAAAGCGCACGUAGGCGGCUUUGUAAGUUAGAGGUGAAAGCCCGGGGCUCAACUCCGGAACUGCCUUUGAAACUAGGUAGCUAGAAUCUUGGAGAGGUCAGUGGAAUUCCGAGUGUAGAGGUGAAAUUCGUAGAUAUUCGGAAGAACACCAGUGGCGAAGGCGACUCACUGGCCCGAUACUGACGCUGAGGCGCGAAAGCGUGGGGAGCAAACAGG